UACGUAGGGUGCGAGCGUUAAUCGGAAUUACUGGGCGUAAAGCGUGCGCAGGCGGUUCGUUGUGUCCGAUGUGAAAGCCCCGAGCUCAACUUGGGAACUGCAUUGGAAACUGGCGGGCUGGAGUGUGGCAGAGGGGGGUGGAAUUCCACGUGUAGCAGUGAAAUGCGUAGAGAUGUGGAGGAACACCGAUGGCGAAGGCAGCCCCCUGGGCCAACACUGACGCUCAGGCACGAAAGCGUGGGGAGCAAACAGG
rnacentral:rRNA from 1 species